rnacentral:rRNA from 1 species
GAUGAACGCUGGCGGCGUGCCUAAUACAUGCAAGUCGAACGCUGGAAAUCUAGCUUGCUAGAUUGAAGGAGUGGCGAACGGGUGAGUAAUACAUAAGCAACCUACCCACGAAGACUGGGAUAAUCUCUGGAAACGGGGACUAAUACCGGAUAGGUAAUCGGAAGGCAUCUUCUGAUUAUUAAAGGUUAAAAACACUGGUGGAUGGGCUUAUGGCGCAUUAGUUAGUUGGUGAGGUAACGGCCCACCAAGACGAUGAUGCGUAGCCGGCCUGAGAGGGUGAACGGCCACAUGGGGACUGGGACACGGCCCAGACUCCUACGGGAGGCAGCAGUAGGGAAUUUUCGGCAAUGGGGGAAACCCUGACCGAGCAACGCCGCGUGAGUGAUGACGGCCUUCGGGUUGUAAAGCUCUGUUGUAAGGGAAGAACGGUAGAUAGAGAAUAUCUAAAUGACGGUACCUUACCAGAAAGCCACGGCUAACUACGUG